rnacentral:rRNA from 1 species
UACGAAGGGGGCGAGCGUUGUUCGGAUUUAUUGGGCGUAAAGAGCUCGUAGGCGGUUUGUCGCGUCGUUCGUGAAAACUCACAGCUUAACUGUGAGCUUGCGGUCGAUACGGGCAGGCUAGAGUUCGGUAGGGGAGACUGGAAUUCCUGGUGUAGCGGUGAAAUGCGCAGAUAUCAGGAGGAACACCGGUGGCGAAGGCGGGUCUCUGGGCCGAUACUGACGCUGAGGAGCGAAAGCGUGGGGAGCGAACGGG